rnacentral:ribozyme from 1 species
GAAUGGACAAAAAGGGGGAAAAAAAGAAAAAACGGGAAAGAACGCGGCGUGUGAGACAGGUGCACUCCCCCCCCCUUUUUGAAUUUUGGGGUGAUCUUCCACUGGUCGCCCUUCUUUCUUUUUUUUUUCUUUCCUU